ensembl:lncRNA
AUUGAGGAAACCUGUUAAAGGUGCCAGUAAUGCUGUGGAAGGAUCUGAGAGAAGAAGGAGAAAAGUGGGAAUAGCCAUAAAGGAGGUUACUCACAGAUAGCUGUGAAGAAAUGAGACAGAAAAGACACUGAAAGGCCGCUCUCAGGUCUCCCUGGAGCCUUUUCCAGGCUGAACAGCCCCAGCUCUCUCAGCCUGUAGGAGAGAUGUUCCAUUCAGUCGAUCAUUUCUGUGGUCCUCCACUGGAUGCGCUCCAACAGAUCCACGUCUCUUCUGUACUGGGGACUCCACAUCUGGAUGCAGUGCUCCAGGUGAGGUCUCAACAGCACAAGACACGGUGCGGUCUGAUGUGUCCGGGAUGUGACUCGGUGUGUGACAGCGCGACCCCGGUCUGUAACCCAAUUUGUAACGCCAUGUGCAACACGAUGUGUGACUUGGUGCAUAAUACAGUCUGUGUCGCGGUGUGUGACCUGCUGUACAGCACAGCGCGUGGCCCACUG